GUGCUCGCUUCAGCAGCACACAGACUAAAGCUGGAACAUACAGAGGAGAUUAACAUGACCCCUGCGCAAGGACGACUCGCGAAUCCAUGAAGCGUUCCAUAUUUUU